rnacentral:rRNA from 1 species
UACGUAGGGGGCGAGCGUUGUCCGGAAUUAUUGGGCGUAAAGGGCGCGCAGGCGGUCUAUACAAGUCUUGUGUGAAAACCUAGGGCUCAACCCUGGGACUGCACAAGAAACUGUUAGACUUGAGGACAGAAGAGGAGAGUGGAAUUCCUAGUGUAGCGGUGAAAUGCGUAGAUAUUAGGAGGAACACCAGUGGCGAAGGCGACUCUCUGGUCUGUAACUGACGCUGAGGCGCGAAAGCGUGGGUAGCAAACAGG